rnacentral:rRNA from 1 species
AUGAACGCUAGCGACAGGCCUAACACAUGCAAGUCGAGGGGCAGCACAAGGAGCAAUCUGAGGUGGCGACCGGCGCACGGGUGAGUAACACGUAUGCAACCUGCCUGUAAGCGGGGAAUAACCCGUUGAAAGACGGACUAAUACCGCAUAAUACUAAAUUACUGCAUGGUAAUUUAUUUAAACAUUUAUGGCUUACAGAUGGGCAUGCGCAUGAUUAGCUAGUUGGAGAGGUAACGGCUCCCCAAGGCAACGAUCAUUAGGGGUUCUGAGAGGAAGGUCCCCCACACUGGUACUGAGACACGGACCAGACUCCUACGGGAGGCAGCAGUGAGGAAUAUUGGUCAAUGGACGAGAGUCUGAACCAGCCAAGUCGCGUGCAGGAAGAAUGUCCCUAUGGAUUGUAAACUGCUUUUGCGGGGGAAUAAAGUGCAUCACGUGUGAUGUUUUGUAUGUACUCUGCGAAUAAGGAUCGGCUAACUCCGUGCCAGCCGCAGC